rnacentral:misc_RNA from 1 species
UUAAAGAGAUGGUAAUGAAUUAAUUCAAUCUUGAAUUGAAUAGCACAAGGUUGACAAACCUUCACUAUCGUCAUUACAACUUGCAGCUAUACAUCCAAGAAUCUAUGAUCACAAGCUAAAUUAAGUAUUCACUACCACGUCAACGUAAUUUUGAAAUGCCCCAAACAAAAACUCCUCUUUCUAAACUGGACCGCUGCAAGGCCUCUUUGCUGCUGGUGUCCUUGCACGGCCUGCUUCUUCCACUAAUGCUUUCAGAAUGACUUCCAAAAGUUCAAACGUGAUUGCUUGAAUUCAUGACCAUGUCACCUUCCAACAUCCUAAGCACCUGAGACAUUCGAGGCCUUGCACGAGGAUCCCGGCGAAUGCACGAUGAGGCACAUUGGAGCAUGUUAUGCACUUCUUGUUUCGAAUAGCAGUUCAUUAAGUGUGGGUCAAUCAGUUCCUGAAUGGUAUGCUUUUCCAGGAGUGGACGGGCCCAUUCAGUUAGGCACUGCUGGCCUUUAGGUCGUUUUAUAUCAAUAGCUUUCCGUCCUGUAACUAGCUCCACCAAUACCACCCCAAAAGAAUAGACAUCAGCUUUUUCUGUGAUCUGGCCACUUUGAGCAUAUUCUGGAGCCAAAUACCCAAAUGUCCCAAUUAUUCUUGUUUUAACUCCUAUGUCUCCAUUUGGCUGCCACCUUGCCAGUCCAAAAUCUCCAACCAUUGGUUCAAAAUCAUGGGUUAUGAGGAUAUUGUUCGGCCUCAUAUCACGAUGGACAAUACAGCCCACUCUACAUUCUUCAUGAAGGUAUCUCAGCCCUCUAGCUGCUCCAACAGCUAUUUUUUGUCGUGCAGACCAGUUCAAUGGAUUUUCAGCAUGUCCUGUAAGAUUCAAACACAGAAAUCGACUACCUUGGCCACAGAAAGGCAACAAAUUUCAUUUGUAAAGAACUUCUUUUUUGGCAGCAUUUUGCAAAGAGCUACAUAUAAGCAUAUGAAAGCAAGAAGAGAUGUCUGGGCUAUAAAGGGGAUAGCUUAUUUCAUUUGCAAAAAACUUACUAUGCGCAAUUGAGUGGAAAUUUCAAGAUGAAGUAGCAUUAUGCAUUCUAUGUACAUUUGAUGGAUUUCAGAGAAUUAUUUCCACUUCUUCCAAAAGGUAUUAAAUAUAUGUCACAAGCAUUAUAGGAGAAUUUACCAAAAAGAUGUGAAUCUAAGGAUCCAUUGCAAAUAUAUUCGUAAACCAACAAUCUUCUUCCGUCCUCCACACAGAAUCCAAUUAACAUCACAACAUUACGAUGCUGUGCACAACUCAAAACCUCAACUUCUGUGCAAAACUCUUGAUCACCUUGUGAACUAGCCAAUUUAUGUUGUUUGACAGCAACCACCAGGCCAUCUGGUAGGACACCUCGGUGAACAGAACCAAAUCCACCUUCAGCCAAGAAAUUUUCUUGUGAAAAUCCAUCUGUAGCAAGUUCUAGUUCAGUAUAUGUAAACCACUUAGGAGGAUUUCCAAAUGCUGGAGCCUUGCCUCGACAUAUUGAACACAAUGGAGGAGGACCAGGAGGCACAUGUGUAGACAAGGAAAUUGCUUCUCUAACACUUCUGCUUAAGUUUAAAUCAAUUUUAUAGUUCAGGACUUCAAUAUCAAGUUCUUGGUCUGAUUUGGAUAAAUUCUCCAGCAAGCUUUUGUGUGUGAACGUUUGAGAUGUAUUUUUUGAUCUCUGGAAACCAUUCACCAAACUUCUUGCAAGUUCACCACUGGAACUCAGAUUAUCAUCCAACCAAGGAUGGAAAUAUAAUCUGGCGGAAGAAGGUUCCCGCUUGUCACAAUCUGAAUCAGAUUCAGAUUCAUAAAGACUUUCAUUUUCUUCAGUGAACAAUAAAUGCUCUUUCUUCUGGCUUCCAUAAAUUCCAGAGAAAAAAAAUGGUGAAGUCCCUGGAUCUGAGCUUGAUAUUGAUGAUGUCCCAACCUCUGUAGCAGUCAGUGAUGAUUCAUGAUCUGGACUACUUGCAGGAGUUACAAAUGGCCCCCUUAACAUAUCUAGCUGGUGAUGCUUGCUCUUGAAGUCCUUUAAAGAUGCUUCUAUCUCAAAUGGCAAUGGCCAACAUACUUCAGUUCGCAUCACUGGGGAUCCAAUCAAAUUCAAACGAAGAAUCUUUGGCUGAGACCGUUUCAUCACCACAACAUUACAUUGUAACUCUUGCAUGCAGUAUUUCUUCUCAUGUUUCAGAUUUUUGUCCAAUAUAACCCAGUUCGAUUGAGCCUUCUUGGCUUCAGCAGCUACCACUCCACAUGAUGAACCAGCAACAACCUUCACCCUGAUUUUUAUCUUCUCAGGGUCAUAUACAUCAUGGAUUUGAUGCAAUAUUUCAGAGCAUGAAUCUGAAAUAUCAUCUCUCUGAUCUAACCUGGUUCCUGAUAGAUACUUCCGGUUACUGCCAGUGCAGUCACUAGUGAAUCUUGAGAAACGCCAAGCUCUUUUACUUGGGGAGUGAGCAGGGAUGACCACCAGUAGCUUAAUGCAAUCCCCAGGUUGAACCACAUGAGUCAAAGCCCAUACCAAAGCUCUCCUUGGUAUCUCUUUUGAUGCCUUAACAGCAACCACCACCACUUUCCCAACCACCAUAUCUGAAGCACCCUUCCCAUUCAUAUCAUCAACCAAAAAAUCUAACCUGUAACACCCCCCACUUCAACUUUCUUUUCUUCAACACACCAUAUAGCCAAGAACCACAUCAAAAUUCCUCAUCAAACAAAUUAUUGAGCAUGAAAAGGACUGCAUUAUCAAGUUGAAGCACGGAAACCAAGAUGCUUUCAAAGUGCCCUGAUAAAAAAGCUACGAGUGGUAAAAGUAGAAGAGGUCUUUCAGUUCCAGUCACUUUCCCAACUGAGUACUUCCCUUUUUACAUGUAAAAAAACACUGUAGACAACUUUGGAUCAAGCAAACCCAGAUGAGCUUUUGCAAGCACAAGUUCUUUCGUUGAAACUGAGGCUACUUUUUUUGAUGUUCAUGUGGAAAGCGUGAGAUUAAAGGGAACAGAAGUUGGUUUUUCCGGUGCGAAAAAGCAGGUUGGCACAGUUU